rnacentral:rRNA from 1 species
GAUCAUGGCUCAGGAUGAACGCUAGCUACAGGCUUAACACAUGCAAGUCGAGGGGCAGCAUGAUUGAAGCUUGCUUCAAUUGAUGGCGACCGGCGCACGGGUGAGUAACACGUAUCCAACCUGCCGAUAACUCGGGGAUAGCCUUUCGAAAGAAAGAUUAAUACCCGAUAGUAUAGUGUUUCCGCAUGGUUUCACUAUUAAAGAAUUUCGGUUAUCGAUGGGGAUGCGUUCCAUUAG